rnacentral:lncRNA from 1 species
UUAGUUUAAACAAUAUUUAUUAAUAAACAAUUUCAAGACAAAUAUUACAAUGUUACAUAAAGUACAAAUAUGGGAUUCGGAAACAAGUUUGGAAAAACUUUUAUAAAUCCGUCUCCCUAAAAAAACAAAAAACAUCUAUUUAACAUACAAUAUUACGUGCCAACAGUAUAUUCAUUUUAUGGUAGCAUAUGAUACAUUGAAUAAAUAAACACACACACACAAAAAAAAAAAAAAAUACAACAAAUAAAAUAAAGGAAAAAAAUAAAAAGUGAGAAAAAAAAAGAAAAAAAUAAAAAAAAAAAAAAAACAAGAAACAGUCAACUCUUAUUUACUUUUCUAGACAGUCACUGGAACCAACACACACGUCCGACCACAAUCAACUACACCGGGUCAUCCACUCGAUUUAACAUCAUAUUUAAAAAAAAAAAGUCUAAAUAUAUAUAAUAUAUAUACAUAUACUAGAUUAACUUUCAAAACGUUUUGUUUUAUUAAUGUAUUCAGAAACUUUAUGAAAUAUUUGCAUAUUGUCCUCGUCAGCUUUUAGACUAUCCCCAUAUAAAAUAAUCUUAAGAUUAGAACAAGAGAUCGUCCCGUUAGUAUCCCUUCGAAUUUCAUUAUAUUUUGGACAUUUGAAGAAAUAAUGAGAGGUAGUUUCUACUCGACCACAGGAACACAGUGAGUUCUCGAUUAGAUUUUUUUUAAAUAGAUGGUCCCUUAGAACACUACUCUGGAGCCUUAGUCUUGCUAAGCAUAUCUGUUCUCUUCUACAGCCGAAGUGAAAAUAUAAUGGUAUUUUAUUAAUAUUUUGAGAAAGAUAAGUUUUAAAACCCG